rnacentral:tRNA from 1 species
GGCUUUAUAGUCAAAAUUUAAUGAUAUUAAAUUGCAAAUUUAAAGUUAAGAAUUAAUUCUUUAAAGCUU